CAACGCGACCCCAGGUCAGGCGGGGCU
rnacentral:rRNA from 1 species